rnacentral:rRNA from 1 species
GACGAACGCUGGCGGCGUGCUUAACACAUGCAAGUCGAACGGACAGACGCUGCUCUUGUGGGUUGCUCGAGAGGCGAACGCGUGAGUAACACGUGAGUAAAAUGCACUUGACUUUGGGGUAACUUCAGGGGACAGGGGCUCAUACAGGAUAGGAGAUCAUGAUGCGCAGGGGGGGUUGGUAAAUUUCGGCGGUUGGGGCUGGAAUCGAGGCUUAUCCGCUUGAUGGUGGGGUAGUGGCUUACCAAGGCUUUGAAGGGUAGCCGGCAUGAGAGGGUGACCGGCCACAUGGGGACUGAGAGACGGCCCAGACUCCUACGGGAGGCAGCAGUGGGGAAUCUGGCACAAUGGGCGGAAGCCUGAUGCAGCAACGCCGCGUGCGGGAUGACGGCCUUCGGGUGGUAAACCGCUUUCGCCUGUGACGAAGCGGGAGUGACGGUAAUGGGUAAAGAAGCACCGGCUAACUACGUG